rnacentral:rRNA from 1 species
CNGGNNUCUGAAUACAUGCNAGUCGAGCGAAUCAAUAGGAGCUUGCUCCUGUUGAUUAGCGGCGGACGGGUGAGUAACACGUGGGCAACCUGCCUGUAAGACUGGGAUAACACCGGGAAACCGGUGCUAAUACCGGAUAAUCCUUUUCCUCUCAUGAGGAAAAGCUGAAAGUCGGUUUCGGCUGACACUUACAGAUGGGCCCGCGGCGCAUUAGCUAGUUGGUGAGGUAACGGCUCACCAAGGCGACGAUGCGUAGCCGACCUGAGAGGGUGAUCGGCCACACUGGGACUGAGACACGGCCCAGACUCAUACGGGAGGCAGCAGUAGGGAAUCUUCCACAAUGGACGAAAGUCUGAUGGAGCAACGCCGCGUGAGCGAUGAAGGCCUUCGGGUCGUAAAGCUCUGUUGUUAGGGAAGAACAAGUACCGGAGUAACUGCCGGUACCUUGACGGUACCUAACCAGAAAGCCACGGCUAACUACGUGCCAGCAGCCGCGGUAAUACGUAGGUGGCAAGCGUUGUCCGGAAUUAUUGGGCGUAAAGCGCGCGCAGGCGGUCCUUUAAGUCUGAUGUGAAAGCCCACGGCUCAACCGUGGAGGGUCAUUGGAAACUGGGGGACUUGAGUGCAGAAGAAGGAAAGCGGAAUCCACGUNUANCGNUNAAUGCUUAAAAUUUGANAACACNNUNNNNANGNNGUUUCU